UACGGGGCGCAGCAGGCGCGAAAACUUUACAAUGCGGGAAACCGUGAUAAGGGGACACCGAGUGCCAGCAUCAUAUGCUGGCUGUCCGGAUGUGUAAAAUACAUCCGUUAGCAAGGGCCGGGCAAGACCGGUGCCAGCCGCCGCGGUAACACCGGCGGCCCGAGUGGUGAUCGUGAUUAUUGGGUCUAAAGGGUCCGUAGCCGGUUUGGUCAGUCCUCCGGGAAAUCUGAUAGCUCAACUAUUAGGCUUUCGGGGGAUACUGCCAGACUUGGAACCGGGAGAGGUAAGAGGUACUACAGGGGUAGGAGUGAAAUCUUGUAAUCCCUGUGGGACCACCUGUGGCGAAGGCGUCUCACCAGAACGGACCUGACGGCAAGGGACGAAAGCUAGGGGCACGAACCGGAUUAGAUACCCGGGUAGUCCUAGCCGUAAACGAUACUCGCUAGGUGUCGGCCACGGUGCGACCGUUGUCGGUGCCGUAGGGAAGCCGUGAAGCGAGCCACCUGGGAAGUACGGCCGCAAGGCUGAAACUUAAAGGAAUUGGCGGGGGAGCACCACAACGGGUGGAGCUUGCGGUUUAAUUGGAUUCAACGCCGGAAAUCUUA
rnacentral:rRNA from 1 species